AACGUAGGAGGCGAGCGUUAUCCGGAUUUACUGGGCGUAAAGCGCGUGCAGGCGGCUCGAAAAGUUGGAUGUGAAAGCUCCUGGCUUAACUGGGAGAGGUCGUUCAAUACUUUCGGGCUAGAGGAUGGGAGAGGGAGGUGGAAUUCCGGGUGUAGUGGUGAAAUGCGUAGAUAUCCGGAGGAACACCAGUGGCGAAGGCGGCCUCCUGGCCCAUUUCUGACGCUCAGACGCGAAAGCUAGGGUAGCAAACGGG
rnacentral:rRNA from 1 species